rnacentral:rRNA from 1 species
UACGGAGGGUGCGAGCGUUGUCCGGAAUCACUGGGCGUAAAGGGCGCGUAGGCGGCGCGGAAAGUCAACGGUGAAAGCUCGGGGCUCAACCCCGAGUCGGCCGUCGAUACUUCUGUGCUCGAGCACUGUAGAGGCAGGUGGAAUUCCGGGUGUAGCGGUGGAAUGCGUAGAUAUUGCUCGGAAGGCCGGAGCCGAAGGGGCCCCACUGGUACGUAACUGACGCUGAGGCACGAAAGCGUGGGGAGCAAAUAGG